rnacentral:rRNA from 1 species
UACGGGGGGGGCAAGCGUUGUUCGGAAUUACUGGGCGUAAAGGGUCUGUAGGUGGCUCGCUAAGUCAGACGUGAAAUCCCUCAGCUUAACUGGGGAACUGCGUCUGAGACUGAUGAGCUUGAGUGCAGGAGAGGAAUGCGGAAUUCCAGGUGUAGCGGUGAAAUGCGUAGAUAUCCGGAGGAACACCGGUGGCGAAGGCGGCUUCCUGGACCGACACUGACGCUGAGGCGCGAAAGCUAGGGGAGCAAACGGG